AUUGAACGCUGGCGGCAGGCCUAACACAUGCAAGUCGAACGGUAACAGGAAGAAGCUUGCUUCUUUGCUGACGAGUGGCGGACGGGUGAGUAAUGUCUGGGAAACUGCCUGAUGGAGGGGGAUAACUACUGGAAACGGUAGCUAAUACCGCAUAACGUCGCAAGACCAAAGAGGGGGACCUUCGGGCCUCUUGCCAUCGGAUGUGCCCAUAUGGGAUUAGCUAGUAGGUGGGGUAACGGCUCACCUAGGCGACGAUCCCUAGCUGGUCUGAGAGGAUGACCAGCCACACUGGAACUGAGACACGGUCCAGACUCCUACGGGAGGCAGCAGUGGGGAAUAUUGCACAAUGGGCGCAAGCCUGAUGCAGCCAUGCCGCGUGUAUGAAGAAGGCCUUCGGGUUGUAAAGUACUUUCAGCGGGGAGGAAGGGAGUAAAGUUAAUACCUUUGCUCAUUGACGUUACCCGCAGAAGAAGCACCGGCUAACUCCGUG
rnacentral:rRNA from 1 species